GAUGAACGCUGGCGGCGUGCCUAAUACAUGCAAGUCGAGCGAACGGACGAGAAGCUUGCUUCUCUGAUGUUAGCGGCGGACGGGUGAGUAACACGUGGAUAACCUACCUAUAAGACUGGGAUAACUUCGGGAAACCGGAGCUAAUACCGGAUAAUCUUUUGAACCGCAUGGUUCAAAAGUGAAAGACGGUCUUGCUGUCACUUAUAGAUGGAUCCCGGCUGCAUUAGCUAGUUGGUAAGGUAACGGCUUACCAAGGCAACGAUGCAUAGCCGACCUGAGAGAGUGGUCGGCCACACUGGAGCUGGGACACGGUCCAGACUCCUACGGGAGGCAGCAGUAGGGAAUCUUCCGCAAUGGGCGAAAGCCUGACGGAGCAACGCCGCGUGAGUGAUGAAGGUCUUCGGAUCGUAAAACUCUGUUAUUAGGGAAGAACAGAUGUGUAAGUAACUGUGCACAUCUUGACGGUACCUAAUCAGAAAGCCACGGCUAACUACGUG
rnacentral:rRNA from 1 species